CCUGCCAGUGCCUGUCCUUCCGCGCCCGCCCGGAUCGCAGCGGCCGCUCUCCCGCCGGCGCCCGCGCUUCGGUCUCCCCUCCCAGUGCAGUGGCCGCCGCCUCUUCCGCCGCCGGGCUCGGGGCCUCCGCACAGACAACAUGGAGGCCGUGAAAACCUUCAACAGCGAGGAUUGUGCCUCUACUCCUGCUUGUACAGACUGCUUUUCCAGCAGCAUGGACACAAGAAGCAUAUUGUAUUCCUUGAAUGACUACAAACCACCCAUUUCUAAAGCAAAAAUGACCCAGAUUACAAAGGCGGCCAUCAAAGCUAUUAAGUUCUAUAAACAUGUGGUACAGAGUGUUGAGAAAUUCAUUCAGAAAUGUAAACCAGAAUACAAGGUACCUGGACUUUAUGUUAUUGACUCCAUUGUGAGACAAUCCCGACAUCAGUUUGGUCAAGAAAAGGAUGUGUUCGCACCCCGAUUUAGUAAUAACAUCAUUAGCACUUUUCAGAAUUUAUAUCGUUGUCCUGGGGAUGACAAGAGUAAAAUAGUGAGAGUUUUAAACUUAUGGCAGAAGAAUAAUGUAUUUAAGAGUGAGAUUAUUCAACCGCUUUUGGAUAUGGCAGCAGGGAUUCCUCCUCCAGUUGUCACACCUGUUUUGGCCAGUACUACUGCUGCUAUGAGCAACACCCCAGGAACACCUGUGACACCUGUUACUCCAGCUAAUGUGGUCCAAGGCCUUCCUGAUCCAUGGGUAUCUCAGAUAACAAAUACAGAUACACUUGCUGCGGUUGCUCAGAUCUUACAAAGUCCUCAAGGCCAACAGCUUCAACAGUUAAUACAAACCUUACAGAUACAGCAGCAGAAACCGCAGCCUUCCAUCCUCCAGGCCCUGGAUGCUGGUCUUGUGGUUCAAUUGCAGGCUCUCACAGCACAGCUUACAGCUGCAGCUGCAGCAGCCAACACGCUCACUCCCUUGGAUCAGGGAGUCCCUUUCAACAAGAAGUUGAUGGAUAGGUUUGAUUUUGGGGACGAUUCUGAGCAUAGUGAAGAACCCAAAAAGGAAAUUCCAACACCUCAACUUUCUCAUGUUUCAGAAUCUGUGAACAAUUCCAUUUUUCAUCAGAUAGCAGAACAACUACAACAACAAAACCUUGAACAUCUCAGACAGCAGCUCCUGGAACAGCAACAGCCUCAAAAGGCAACUCCUCAAGAUAGUCAAGAAGGGACAUUUGGAUCAGAGCAUUCAGCGUCACCAUCACAAGGGAGUAGUCAGCAACAUUUUCUUGAACCUGAAACAAAUUUGGAUGAUUCUAUAGAUAUACAGCAACAGGAUAUGGAUAUAGAUGAAGGACAAGAUGGAGUGGAAGAGGAAAUCUUUGAACAAGAAGCUAAGAAAGUGGCUGUUCGUUCCAGAUCAAGAACUCAUUCGAGAUCUCGUUCAAGAUCACCAAGGAAACGGAGGUCCAGGUCAAGAUCUGGUUCUCGCAAGCGUAAACAUCGAAAGCGAUCAAGGUCCCGCUCAAGAGAGAGGAAGAGGAAGUCAUCACGUUCAUACUCCAGUGAAAGGAGAGCCAGAGAAAGGGAGAAGGAACGACAAAAAAAGGGAUUACCUCCAAUUAGAUCUAAAACAUUAAGUGUAUGUAGCACUACUCUCUGGGUUGGUCAGGUAGACAAGAAAGCGACACAGCAAGAUUUAACCAAUCUUUUUGAAGAGUUUGGACAAAUUGAAUCCAUUAAUAUGAUUCCUCCCAGGGGUUGUGCUUAUGUCUGUAUGGUACAUCGACAAGAUGCAUUUCGGGCUCUUCAGAAACUGAGUUCCGGAUCAUAUAAAAUCGGUUCCAAGGUUAUUAAGAUUGCUUGGGCUUUAAAUAAAGGUGUAAAAACAGAAUACAAACAAUUCUGGGAUGUGGAUCUUGGAGUUACAUAUAUACCAUGGGAAAAAGUUAAAGUGGAUGAUUUGGAUGGUUUUGCAGAAGGAGGCAUGAUUGAUCAGGAAACUGUAAAUACUGAAUGGGAAACAGUGAAGAGCUCAGAACCCAUUAAAGAGACGGUCCAGACAACUCAGAGUCCAACUCCAGUUGAAAAGGAGACAGUGGUCACAACCCAGGCAGAGGUUUUCCCUCCACCUGUUGCCAUGUUGCAGAUUCCAGUAGCACCAGCGGUGCCUACAGUUAGUUUAGUUCCACCAGCAUUUCCUGUGUCCAUGCCAGUUCCGCCUCCUGGAUUCAGCCCAAUACCUCCACCACCUUUUCUGCGAGCAAGUUUUAACCCUUCACAACCACCUCCUGGUUUCAUGCCCCCUCCAGUUCCCCCGCCUGUUGUACCACCCCCUGCAAUUCCACCAGUAGUACCAACAUCCUUAGUGCAACCGCCACUGUCCAUGACCCCUGAAGCUGUGAAGGAUGUUGGAUUUGGUAGUCUUGUUUUACCAGGUGGUCCAGUUGCCAGCAGUCUUGCUACUUCUGCUCUACCAGCUGGAAAUGUUUUUAAUCCUCCACCUAAACAAGCAGAGCCUGAAGAAAAAGUACCUCAUCUUUUAGAACACCAGAUUUCUUCUGGUGAAAACAGCAGAUCAGUGAUUCCGAAUGAUAUUUCAAGUAAUGCUGCAAUUUUAGGAGCGCAGCCGCCUAAUGUGACAAGCAAUUCUGGAAUUUUGGGAGUCCAAAGACCAAAUGUAUCAAGUAACUCUGAAAUUCUUGGAGUCCGACCAUCUAAUGUUUCCAGUAGUUCUGGGAUUAUUGGAGCUCAACCACCAAAUAUUCUAAAUAACUCUGGAAUUUUGGGAAUACAGCCACCGAAUGUGUCAAAUAGUUCUGGACUUUUGGGAGUGCUACCCCCAAAUAUGCCGAAUAAUUCUGGACUUGUAGGAGUACAGCCACCAAAUGUCACAAACACUUCUGGACUUUUGGGAACACAGCCACCUGCUGGACCUCAAAAUUUACCCCCUUUAAAUAUCCCAAGUCAAAGGAUGCCUGCAAUGCCAAUAUUAGACAUUCGUCCAGGACUAAUACCACAGGCCCCUGGACCAAGAUUCCCUUUAAUACAACCUGGAAUUCCACCCCAACGUGGAAUCCCUCCCCCAUCGGUACUUGAUUCAGCUCUUCAUCCACCACCCCGUGGACCUUUUCCUCCAGGAGAUAUUUUUAGUCAGCCAGAAAGACCUUUUCUAGCUCCUGGAAGACAAAGUGUAGAAAAUGUUAUUAACCCAGAAAAAAGGAUACCGCUUGGGAGUGAUAACAUUCAACAGGAAGGAGAUAGAGAUUACCGGUUUCCUCCCAUAGAAACCAGGGAGAGCAUUAGUAGACCUCCCCCAGUGGAUGUUAGGGAUGUGGUUGGGCGGCCUAUAGAUCCAAGAGAAGGUCCUGGAAGGCCUCCAUUAGACGGUAGGGAUCAUUUUGGAAGACCUCCUGUAGAUAUCAGAGAGAAUCUUGUGAGGCCAGGUAUAGAUCAUCUUGGUCGAAGAGACCACUUUGGCUUUACUCCAGAGAAGCCCUGGGGGCAUAGAGGAGAUUUUGAUGAGAGAGAGCACCGGGUUCUCCCUGUCUAUGGUGGUCCAAAAGGAUUACAUGAUGAAAGAGGUAGAUUUCGGGCUGGAAGCUACCGAUUUGAUCCUAGAAGUGGUCCUUGGAACAGAGGAUUUGGACAAGAAGUUCACAGAGAUUUUGAUGACCGCAGAAGACCCUGGGAAAGGCAGAGGGAUAGGGAUGACAGAGAUUUUGAUUUCUGCAGAGAAAUGAAUGGAAAUCGUCUUGGACGAGAUAGAAUUCAAAACACUUGGGUCCCCCCUCCUCACGCUCGGGUUUUUGAUUAUUUUGAAGGGGCCACUUCUCAACGAAAAGGUGAUAAUGUGCCUCAGGUUAAUGGUGAAAAUACAGAGAGACAUGCUCAACCACCGCCUUUACCAGUACAGAAUGAUCCUGAACUUUAUGAAAAACUGACGUCUUCAAGUGACAUAAACAAGGAGAAGAGUGACACAGUUGCUGAUAUAGAAAGUGAACCAGUGGUGGUAGAAAGCACAGAAACUGAGGGGACAUAAUCAUCACUCAGUAGGGCAGAGUGACGGGGAAGAUCAGCUCCUGAGCGGCUGGGGGAAUGUGAAGGCUUUCGUCUCCAGCUGUCUGGUUGAAGCUUCAGAAGGGUAACCUCCCCUGCCACCUUUGGACCUGCCUGACCCCCACCACAGUGUGCGAGUGUCAACUGCAUUGUGUGCGUCGAUCACAGCAAGUGUCAGGAGGCGCCCGGUAAGCCAGCUGAACCUGGCUCAAGUGAGAAUUGACACCAACCGAGGACACAGAUACAACUGACAGUGCAAGAUGUGACUGUGCAGUAAGAAAUGACUCAGGCCAGGGUCUCACCAGGAAGGGAAUUGCUGAAUUACUCUGUGCAGUUACAGUAUUUUCUCAUAUGAACGUCUCUCAUCAGGGUCAAUCUGUCUGGAUGGUUGAAGGGCUCCCGGAGAUUCCUCCUUGAUUAACUCACCUUCGUUGCUUGUAUGUGGCUGAGAUGCCAUCUUGCAUCCUCAUUCCUUGGGUUCCCAAAGUCCUUUGUCAGUUUUUCAACUACAGCACAGACAUCGCCUGAGAAGGUUCACGGUUUACACUCUUAGCAGCAGCCAGCAGUUGUUUACUGUGUGGUUCCAGCCUGGGACCUACAGGGUACACUGAGCAUGUCACAGGGAAGGCCAGGGAUGUGGCCUAGGACCAGGUCAUCAUAAUCAUCUCUUUUAGCCAGCUUUUUUUCUGCUGUGACCAAAAGACCUGACAAGAACAAUUUUAGAAGAGGAAAAGUUUAUCCGGGGCUCAUGGUUCCAAAGGUUUCUGUCCACAGAAGGCCGGCUCCAUUCCUCAAGGCCUGAGGCAAGGCAGUGUGGCAGAGGAAAGCAUCAUGGCACCAGGAAGCAGACAGAGAGAGAGAGUCUAAGCUCAUCUCACAAAAUAUAUUCACCCAAAGGCACAUCCCCAGUGAUCCACCUCCUCCAGCCACACCCUACUUGCAUAUAGUCACAGCUGCCUGAUGGGGACUAACUCAGGGAUUAAGUUAAGGUUCUUAUAACCCCAUCAUUUCACCUCUGAAGUUUCUUGCGUUGUCCCAUACAAGAGCCAAGAUUCAAGGAACAUCCGGGUAGGAACAGUGAUAAUGGACUUGGAAAGCUUGAACUAUGUUUUCAAAAUAGAAAGAAGUUCAUGGGCCGAAUGAAGAGUUCUGUCUUCUAUGUGUGAUUUGUGGUCAGGCCCAUCCACUCCGUGCUCAGCUGAUCACUAGCUCUGUGACGGUGAGCAGGUGGCUCCUCUCUGUGAGCUUCAGGGUCCUUCUCAUCUGUGAAAGGGGAUGACAAUACUACCUACCUCAGUAGGAGGUUGCAAGAUGCAAUGAG